rnacentral:rRNA from 1 species
UACGUAGGGACCAAGCGUUGUUCGGAUUUACUGGGCGUAAAGGGCGCGUAGGCGGCAAUUCAAGUCAUCUGUGAAAUCUCCGGGCUUAACCCGGAACGGUCAGAUGAUACUGCUUUGCUAGAGUGCGGGAAGGGGCAAUCGGAAUUCUCGGUGUAGCGGUGAAAUGCGUAGAUAUCAAGAGGAACACCUGAGGUGAAGACGGGUUGCUGGGCUGACACUGACGCUGAGGCGCGAAAGCCAGGGGAGCAAACGGG